CACGUAGGGGGCAAGCGUUGUCCGGAAUUAUUGGGCGUAAAGAGCUCGUAGGCGGCUCGGUAAGUCAUGUGUCAAAUCUUCAGGCUCAACCUGGAGCUCCACCUGAUACUGCUGUGGCUAGAGUCCGGUAGGGGAGCGUGGAAUUCCUGGUGUAGCGGUGAAAUGCGCAGAUAUCAGGAGGAACACAGCGGCGAAGGCGGCGCUCUGGGCCGGAACUGACGCUGAGGAGCGAAAGCGUGGGUAGCAAACAGG
rnacentral:rRNA from 1 species